UCGUCAGUGGUCUUCUCAAUGCUGCAGUGGUGUGAGUGGUCCUUUAACCAACGGUGUCAUUGGUUAUUCACAACGAGGCUACUAAGUUUAACUAUACAUUUUCUUGAUCCCUAGCCAUUUAGGUCUUUGCUAUGUAUGUUGGCUUCAGUAGGUUCAAAUUUGCUAUUUGAAGUAGGAUGCACCUAGAUAGGAUCUAUCGAUCUUGGUAGAAAAAGAAAAGUCCUAUGCGAUUUGUGAGACUGAG
rnacentral:lncRNA from 1 species